rnacentral:rRNA from 1 species
ACGAACGCUGGCGGCGUGCCUAACACAUGCAAGUCGCGCGCGAAAGUCUUCGGAUGAGUAGAGCGGCGCACGGGUGAGUAACACGUGGAUAAUCUGCCCCUGGGUGUGGAAUAACCCGGCGAAAGCCGGGCUAAUACCGCAUAACACAGUAAUGGCAAAGCGGAGGCUGAUUUCGGUCACUUCGCGCCUGGGGAUGAGUCCGCGGCCCAUCAGCUAGUUGGCGGGGUAAUGGCCCACCAAGGCGAAGACGGGUAGCUGGUCUGAGAGGAUGAUCAGCCACACUGGAACUGAGACACGGUCCAGACUCCUACGGGAGGCAGCAGUGGGGAAUCUUGCGCAAUGGGCGAAAGCCUGACGCAGCAACGCCGCGUGUGUGAUGAAGGUCUUCGGAUCGUAAAGCACUGUCGGCAGGAACGAGGGUUUGUUUGGCUAACAUCCAAAUAAGCUGACGGUA